rnacentral:rRNA from 1 species
AACCUGGUUGAUCCUGCCAGUAGUCAUAUGCUUGUCUCAAAGACUAAGCCAUGCAUGUCUAAGUAUAAGUAUUAUACAGCGAAACUGCGAAUGGCUCAUUAAAACAGUUAUAAUUUAUUUGAUAAUCGAAUUUACAUGGAUAACCGUGGUAAUUCUAGAGCUAAUACAUGCUGGUAGGCCCGACUUUCUGGAAGGGCGGUAUUUAUUAGAUAACAAACCAAUAUUCCUCUGGUCUAUUGUGGUGAAUCAUAAUAACUGAUCGAAUCGCAAGGUUUUUAACCGCGAUAAGUCAUUCAAGUUUCUGCCCCAUCAGCUUUCGAUGGUAGUGUAUUGGACUACCAUGGCUUUUACGGGUAACGGAGGAUUAGGGUUCGAUUCCGGAGAGGGAGCCUGAGAAACGGCUACCACAUCUAAGGAAGGCAGCAGGCGCGUAAAUUACCCAAUCCUGACUCAGGGAGGUAGUGACAAGAAAUAACGGACCGAGGCCUUCGGGCUUCGGGAUUGCAAUGAGCCGAAUUUACACCCCUUAGCGAAGAUCGAUUGGAGGGCAAGUCUGGUGCCA